AAGCGCGUAUCUUAUUGCCCAUCAUCCUUGAGCUUCGCUAUAAUUGUGUUAUAAUUUCCAUCCUCGCAGUCCUAUAAUAGUAAGUAACCAUCCACCUGGUCCACAGUCCAAGGUUGGUCCAUGUUUGUGAACUUGUAAUUGAGAGUAUGAUGCCUGUGCAAAACAGAUGCAGAGUAUGUACUUCGCAAUAGAAGCGAGCAACGGCAUCCUUGUCUGAAACAGAAACACUCUAGUUUUGGUUGUGUUCGACCGGAUUGAUUAUUACUACUUCAUUUGGACUAAAUCCGAAAAAAAAUAAGAGAAAUGUGCUGGUUCUAUAUCACCCACCUAUUUUACAUGGAGCUACUCUGAAGGUUUUUUUUAAAAACCUAGUGUUCGCCACCACUCACUUCAGGGCAUUAGGUGCUGCAACGAAGUUUGUUUUGGGCUCCAAGGUUGUGAUGAUUCGUAGGUGUGCGUUUAGCCCCACAUCGAUUAUUCGCCGAAGUAAAAUUUUGAAACAUGACAAAGUGGUAUUAGAGCGAACUCAACCAAUGGUGAAGUCCAUUUUGGAAAAAUAGAAUUAUCUUCCCUUAACCUGCAAUAAACUACUCCAUGUUAUGCAUUGAGAAAAUUUCCUGUGUGUGAGCUACCUUUUACCAAAAAAAAAAAAGAAUUUUUUUAUUAUUCUAAAUAAAUUUAUUUAUUUAUCGGAUGAGACUGGGUUGCUUUGCCGGAGCCGCGCAGUUUUUCACGUGGUUGACAGGUGCCAUGUUUCUCGCACGAUAAGCUUCAGAGGCGGUUCAUAAAAAAAAAAAAAAAAAGGCUUCAGAGGUUCGCUCGGGCCUCGCGUCCAGCUGCAGCAUCGGAUUCCGGGCCCAUCGAAAUCUGAGACGUCACGGGCUCGAUGGAGAUCGAAGAGAUAUGAUGGCCGCAGAUGGAUAACCCGCAUUCCUGCCCGGAAGGCUUUCGAUGGAAUGCCUCACCCAGAAGCGGCGUCCUGCAGCUCAUCGUCGCAGAUCCUUUGUGUGACUGAGUUGACGAGGAUCUUUUCUCCGCUAGUGGGUCCACGCUAUGGCUUGGGUGGAAGUAUGGUUACUGGGUUUCUGGACUGGCUAUUCCUGUGCUAAGAUUUCUAGGUCCAUUACAUGAUAGUGUAUCGCCACCAGUGAAUCCAGAGGCGAGAAUUGCAUGGUCUAGCUUUUAUGGGCAUGCUCGCAUUCAAAGGAUUCAGAGAGCUUGCUGAAGGCCCAGGAUAUAUCAGCCGAUCAUGUACUUUUUAUCGAUGUCCCGUAAGGUGCCAAAGUAGAAUGAAUCCUAUUAGGAGUGAUGUGAUUAGCCUCCAAGAACUCUUAGAGAAAUGAUAAGCCACGGCAAAAUGGCAUCAUACAUGUGGAAUAUGUAGUCAGGUAACAGAGUAACCAACAUUGCUUUACCAUUCCUGCCACCACCUUGAGGAAGAAACUGCCAGGUUAGCCAGAAUAUGUAAUAGCUUGUUUGUUUGGAAAGCAUACAUGAGUAAUUGUGUAAAUUCCAAAUAUAAAGGAUGUAUCUAUAACAUAACAAGUGAGAUCAUUAUCAUGUAGUAACUGGCUUGCACCUUCGACUAAGAAAGUUGAAAGAUUGCUGCAAUGGCUUCCAUAUUCACUCCAUGGAUAUUGCUCCUUCUUAUCACCACCAUCCUCUCCAUUUCUCUCCUUCCAAUUUCCGUUUGUGCUGAUGCAGACAAAUAGGUGAGUAUUAAUCUAUGAUGCGCACUAAUUUGUAUGCAGUAGGUCAUGGGUAUUUGCUAUUAUUUGAUGCUAUAAAGCUAUUGAGCAGCGAGAUGAAUUAAUGGGUUGGGAAUCAUUUCAUACGACAGGUUUGGAGCAUACAUGGUGGAGAAGCUGCAUGAUGAGUACUCAACCAUCUAUCCACCAUGGUUUAUUGGAGGAAGUGCUAGAACAGGCAUGUAGGGAAUAGUUUUGGUGUUUCCAAGCAAAACCCUGGAGCUCCACACCACAAAUUCAUGGAAUUUUCUAGGCCUUUAUGACACAAUACCAAAUGGGAUGCUGGAGAGCAACAUCAUAGUCGGCAUGCUUGACACUGGACAUUGGCUGGAACACGAGAGCUUUAGAGAUGAUGCUCAUAGUCCACCACCAGGGACAUUCCGUAAACUCUUUCCCCAGAGGACAGGUCCUAUCAUUUAUAUAUGCAGGCAAUGUGCAAACUAAGUCUUUUGUUGAUGAGUCAAGUCUAUCAUACAGGUAAUGUGAACCGGGCUCGGUGGAUAGUGAUCUGGAGAAGGGUAAGAUUGUUCUGUGUAAAGCAAUUCAUGAAAAGGGCCUUCGUUGAUGCAGCUCGGGGGACUGUCAUACUAAGCAAUUACUAUCCUGAUUUUGCACUGGUGUACCCACUACCAGCAACCAUCAUCUGUACUGCUGAGGUUGAGAGGCUUAAAAAGUACUUGGGUGACACUAGGUAUGCGGUAUCUUUAGGUCUACUUAAUGUGUUCCAUAUAAGCGUUUGUGCAUGCAAAGAAAGGAUUGUUAGGAUCUAUCAAAUGUUGGAUUGUGUUUUUGUUGAUUGGGAAGAAACCAUAUAUGAAGCAUCUCUGAUGACCUUUUGAGCAGGAAUCCAGUGGCUAAGAUCCAUAAGAGCAAACAAAUUCAGAAUUUGACAGGACCGAUUGUUGCUUCUCUUCUAGAGGAUCAAAGAUGAUCACUCCUGAUAUUCUGAAGGUACCAGUGAGCUCAUGUUUCUUAUUUUUCAUGAUUGAGCCAAUGAGAGAUAAUAUCUGGCAGUAAUAUGUCCAGCUAGUUGUCCCUACCUGGAAUUUGGCGUAAUUGCAGAAUGAAGUUGCUUUCCCAGUUUCCACUUGUAGGGCUUUGAUUCAGCCAGAGCAUUUACCUCCUAAAUCAUAUGUUCAUCAUCGUAAACUUGUUUAGCAACCUUAAGCACAGAAGCAAAUAUAUGAUAAAAAUUCAAAUAAUAAUAAAAAGUGAAAACUCCUCAAUUUUGUUGAAAAUUCAAAUAUCUUCUUAUUUCUUGCUUAUUUUGUUGUGUAUGUAUGUCUCUGCUUGUGUUUGUGUUCUUCUGUGUCUUCAAUAAUCUCACGCACUCACUUAGUAUGCACCAUCCAGCUCAGAAAUGGUCAGGACAAGCUCAACUAAUUGGUACUCUGGGCUGUAAUUCUAUCUCAUGGCUAGGUGAGCCCACUAGAACAUUCAUUCAGCUCACCUGCAAAGUAAGAAUGGCCAUCCAAGUUGGGUUUGCCAAAUCUGAGCAGCAUGUAUUGCAUAAUCGAUAUACUGUCCCAAUUCUUGUUCUCAGGGUUCAACAAGCAUGGGCUCUUGAAGAACUUCAAACUCUUGCACUUUUGUCUCGGAAUUUUAAAAGAAUUAUUGAAAAUACAAGAACGAAAUGCAGUGUCAAAACCAUGGAAGCAAUGGAUUCUUUUCUUCUAUUAUAUGUUAGCAAUAGCAUAAUAUCAUGAUGGACGCACCAUAAUUUAUCAUUAUUUCAUUGUAAUAUAAUAUUCUCUCAAGACCAAGAUGACAAGAUAUGAAGAGGAGACCCCGCGUGCCUAAGUUUAACAUAUUGUCUGGAUUUCGGAACAUCUAUGGCUUCCUCUCAUGCAACUGGCGUCGCCACUGCAUAUACGAAAUCAUUACACUCUGAUUGGACACCAGUUACGACAACUCAAGACCUCCCCAAAAAGACUAGCUAGAAGGUAUUUUUUGAGUUUUUUAGUCAUGUAUAAGUAUCCAAGAUUUUCUUGGCAAAUAAUCGAUGUGAGACUAAACACACGUCCGCACGGGUCUUCACAUACUCCUCCCGUUCAAGCCUGGACAUUUUCAUGAGGCUAAGAAUUCAAAUCUAAUCGCAAGCGCCAUAUCAACUUGUGGUCAGCUUUCAUGAACCUGUGUUACAGUGUCCCCUGGUUCACAUAGGCUAUGGGCCGAGUUUGCUCUGAUACCAUUUGUCAAUCUCAUUUGAAAAAGACUAAGCUGAAAGGUAUUUUUUUUUGUUUCUUAGUCCAGUACCCAAAAUCUUCUUGGCGAAUGAUUGAUGUGAGACAAAACACACGCCUAUACGAGUUCUUACACCAGCAGCGAUCAAGUCUGCUUUCAUAAUUGAUGGUAACCUAUUCCUUCACACUAGCAGCGAUCAAGUUUGCUUUGAUAAUUGAUGGUAACCUAUUCCUUCCCUUCCAAAGUUCCUCUCAAAUCAUGCAUUUUUUGCAUGCUGCUUGAUUCUUAUGUAUGCAAAAUAGUAGCAUCGUAUUCACUUUGAAGAAUGAGGGGCUUGUUUCUGGUAUGGUGGGUGCGGCUCGUCCAUUGAAUGCUUCCAACAAUCCAGAUGCUGAAUUAGCGAAUGGCGCUGGUCAAGUCAAUCCUUAUGCUGCUGUUAAUCCUGGAGUUUAUCUAUGAAAUCGGUGCAGGCGAUGAUGUACAAAUACUGUGCAACCAAGGCUACCGUACCAGGAAGCUAGGCUCAUAGCUGGACAUGCAACCAGUCGCCUCGAGGAAUCUAAAGGAAGCCUAGGGACCUAAAUUACCCAUCCAUGGGGAAGGACUGUCUAUGAAUGAAAUCGCCUCAGCUUCAUUGGCGUGGUCCGAUGGUGUGCAUAGUGUGUCACACUUGUGACAGGGGAUUUAAUAAGUUUAUUGGUUCGCAUGCCUCCAUAGCCUGUAACCUGUAGAUCCUAUAUUUGAUCAUUAUGUAAGACAUAUUCUCUCU